rnacentral:rRNA from 1 species
GACGAACCGUGCAAACGUUAUUCAGAAUCACUGGGCAUAAAGGGCGCGUAGGCGGCUCCAAAAGUCAGGGGUGAAAUCCGGCAGCUUAACUGUCGCAGUGCCUUUGAUACUGUGGAGCUAGAGGGAGGUAGGGGUCUGUGGAACUUCCGGUGGAGCGGUGAAAUGCGUUGAUAUCGGAAGGAACGCCGGUGGCGAAAGCGACGGACUGGAUCUCUUCUGACGCUGAGGCGCGAAAGCCAGGGGAGCAAACGGG